UACGUAGGGGGCAAGCGUUGUCCGGAAUCCUUGGGCGUAAAGAGCGUGUAGGCGGCCCGGUAAGUCCGCUGUGAAAGUCCAGGGCUCAACCCUGGGAUGCCGGUGGAUACUGUCGGGCUCGAGUCCGGAAGAGGAGUGUGGAAUUCCUGGUGUAGCGGUGAAAUGCGCAGAUAUCAGGAGGAACACCAAUGGCGAAGGCAGCACUCUGGGACGUGACUGACGCUGAGACGCGAAAGCGUGGGGAGCAAACAGG
rnacentral:rRNA from 1 species